AUGGCGACAGCAACCACAAGUCGGCCCAGCGGCCCGGUGCUGGCCAUACCCAGCUACCGCUCCGCCUCACCCACCCGCGUCAAGCUCGCCGGCGGCAGCGGCGCCACCCGCUCGCCGGGCAAGUCCGUCAGCGUCUCUUCCCCAUCUUCCUCCACCGGCGGUGCCCCCGCCAGGAGUCGGCGGUCCUGCAUGUGCUCCUCGACGAACCACCCCGGCUCGUUCCGGUGCAGCCUUCACAAGGAGCGCAAGCAGGCGGCCCCCGCCGGCAGCAGCAAGCCGGCUUCCCCUCCGUCCAUGCGCAGCGCCUGCAGCCUGGGCUCGAAGCGUAUGGAAAGCGGACAUUGGGCACACAGGAGGGGAAGCCGGCAAUCGCAGCACCGGAGGCGUGCGGGCGGGUUCCGCCCCAGGCCGAGCAGGCUCUCCGCCGUUUCCGUGGCCGGCGAGCGUCCCAACGACAACCAGUAA
rnacentral:rRNA from 1 species